GGAAGUGUGGCCGAGUGGUCGAAGGCAGCACCUUGCUAAGGUGCCGUACCGCUUGCGGUACCGGAGGUUCGAAUCCUCUCACUUCCGCCA
rnacentral:tRNA from 1 species